UGGUUAGCCAUAGUCUCAAUAGUCUUCCACCAAUCAGCACAAGUUUCACUGUCCAAAAUUUCCCUGUGUGAGAUUCUCUGCAAAUUCUCAAGAGGACGAUUAAAGGAAGCAAUCAAUCAGAACGUCGAGACAGUUUUAACAGACAAUUCUUUUCAGAACUAUCUACAGUGGUGUUUGCCACUAGGAGGUAGUCCUAGCAAGAUAAAGGUCAGUCGAUCGUAGCAAGUAAAUUAUACAAGGCAAGAGGAGAUAAUUAUUGAUUACAAUUUUUGUGUGCAUCAUUCGUAAAUAGUGGACACAACUGUUGUCAUAUUGAUCUGCACCAGUGUUACAAGCGGUAUGGAACGUUCAAGUGAAGCUCGCAAAGCAUCCAAUAGACGCCUCCUCCAAAGUUUGGUUCACGCUUCCUAUUGUGAUAAUGACGAUUGCUACAGGGCAACUUGCCAGAAAAUGAAGAAUCUCAUACAACAUGCAAAAACCUGCGAAAGAAAAACAGCUGGAAACUGUCGUACAUGCAAACAGCUUAUUGCGGUGUGUGUUUUACAUGUGAAACAACAUUGCUCAGAACAGAUGUGCCGGGUGCCAUACUGUGCACAUAUUAAGCGAUUAAUAGAAAGGCAGCAGAGACCUGUAGCUGCUAUGAAAAAUGCAGGCGGAUAGGGCAAUAUUACAGCAGUAUUCCCAAAAGACAACGCCGGUCAGGCAAGAAUGUUUUUAUACCUUGUCUUGUGAACCUGCUGCCUGUCGAUAAUUAUGAUUUUGAAUAAAAAUACUAGGCCUAUUUUAAUUUUUGGCCAGUUAGUAAACUUGUCUCCACAAAAAAUGAAUACUUCAGAAUAAAUUUAUUCAUUUUCUAAUUUGGACCCCCACCAUAUCUAUAUUUCUUCCUCAAUCGAUUUGUAUGAACAUAUAUCAAUCCCCUGUACUACACUGUUUACGUUCAUCAAUAAAACUUUAUUUUUAUUUAUUUUUUCUCAGCCUAAAUGCUUUGGACUAAUCCAUUUUGCUAUGUAAGAAAACGUAAUUUUAUUUUGUUCCUACCCUCCUAUGAGUCAGCUAUUCCUGGAUAUCUCGCUGCUUCCCUAAGGGUCUCUUCGUGUCUGAGCUACCCGGUAGACCGGUACCAGCUAUCUCUAUUCUGCCCACAACAGGGCUGUAUGAACCAGUACAACUGGGUAAAGCUGCAUUCACACACCGAGCCGAAAAUGCGUAGAACGUUUUCGAUGCGCGUCUAAUGCGCCUCUAUUCUUUACCACUGCUUCAAUUUUCUUUUUGUUGGACAUGCAAACCGGAUACGUUGUUCUAUUGUACCUUAACCUCCUACUCAUCUCGAAAGAUGUGCUAGAUCAUGUACUAGGGAUUAUAUUUAUGUUGCAGUUAGGUAAAUAUUUUAAUACAUUAUUUUAUUUACAAUUGUGCGUAGGUUUAAUGUGAUGCAUUUUCUUUUAUUAUUAAUGUUUCGUGAGUUAUUUUCAUAAUCUUAUUCAAAUGUUGGUGUUUUAAUUAAGGCAAAAAUAAAUUUGUUUCAUUUGAUGUCUUGUAUUUUUUUUUUUUUUAUCUAUUUGCAUUUGUAAAUUCAGAUAAUAUUUAACAUUUCUGUGUUGCCUUCUGUGUGUUUUAUUAUUUAUUUUAAUCAUUAUGCAAUAUAAAAGAUAGGAUACACAUUGUUUAAUUCAAUAACUUGUAUACCCAAGUUAAUACCAUAAUUUAUAUGUUACUGCAAAAAUGAGCUUGGUAAAAGUUAAACUGGGUCCAGUCCCUAAACUUAGUCUUAAUCGGCGAAAAGGGUUUAUAAUAAACCGAUUUUGGCACCAAUGACGUUCCAUAUUACAAAUUUGGCUUGAAUUCCAUAGUACUGUAUUCUUUUUCUGGGAUUAGCUAAAAAGUUUGCAAAGUUUCUCGAUAGAGGUUGGUGGCGCUCUUCGAACGUCUGACAAGUCUCUAACACUAGGAAAAACAAUUUGACUUUUGGCAAGUCUAGGUAAAAGUGCCCUUUAUUAUGUCCUAUUAAUUGGUAAUAGAAAGACAUUUAUUUUAAUGAAAUUUUAAGUUUAUGAAAAAAAAAAAUUAAAACCACUGCAUUCAUGCAUAAAUUUCAUUCAUUGUUUGAUAUUUCUUUUUUAUCAAAUUUUAAGGUUUUUGUCUUAAAUGUUUUAAAAAUUAAAACCACUGCGAUCAUGCAUAAUUUUCAUUCACCGUUCGAUUAUUAGGAACAUCCAAUUUCAUAGACUCCUUUGCAACAUCCGAACAGAUAAGACGAAAAUUGAAUUAAAU